rnacentral:misc_RNA from 1 species
AAGUCGUAACAAGGUUUCCGUAGGUGAACCUGCGGAAGGAUCAUUAUCGAGAGAGGGGCUUCGCGCUCCCGGGGGUUUCGGCCCCCAACUCUUCACCCAUUGUCAAUUUACCCUUGUUGCUUUGGCGGAUUCCGGGGGUAUGCUUGCUGCUGAUGUUAGUUUCGAUCAAUCCGAACCGUGCGAGAUGUGCCCCGGCGCCCGCCGGAGGCCCAUUAAAAUCUGUUUAUCAGUGAUGUCCGAGUAAAAAACCAAUAAUAAAA